rnacentral:rRNA from 1 species
UACGUAGGGAGCAAGCGUUGUCCGGAAUCAUUGGGCGUAAAGCGCGCGUAGGUGGCUUCGUAAGUCCGUUGUGAAAGUCAAAGGCUCAACCUUUGAAUGCCGAUGGAUACUGCGGAGCUAGAGUACGGAAGAGGCGAGUGGAAUUCCUGGUGUAGCGGUGGAAUGCGCAGAUAUCGAGAGGAACACCUGCGGCGAAGGCGGGUUGCUGGGCCGACACUGACGCUGAAGCGCGAAAGCCAGGGGAGCGAACGGG